rnacentral:rRNA from 1 species
UACGUAGGCAGCGAGCGUUGUUCGGAGUUACUGGGCGUAAAGGGUGUGUAGGCGGUUGUUUAAGUUUGGUGUGAAAUCUCCCGGCUCAACUGGGAGGGUGCGCCGAAUACUGAAUGACUUCGAGUGCGGGAGAGGAGAGUGGAAUUCCUGGUGUAGCGGUGAAAUGCGCAGAGAUCGGGAAGAACAUCAGUGGCGAAGGCGGUCUGCUGGGCCGUUGCUGACGCUGAGGCGCGACAGCGUGGGGAGCAAACAGG